CGCCCUUGAGUUUGAUCAUGGCUCAGAACGAACGCUGGCGGCAGGCUUAACACAUGCAAGUCGAACGCCCCGCAAGGGGAGUGGCGCACGGGUGAGUAACGCGUGGGAAUAUGCCCUUCGGUUCGGAAUAACACAGGGAAACUUGUGCUAAUACCGGAUACGAUCUACGGAUGAAAGAUUCAUCGCCGAAGGAGUAGCCCGCGUAGGAUUAGCUAGUUGGUGAGGUAAUGGCUCACCAAGGCGACGAUCCUUAGCUGGUCUGAGAGGAUGAUCAGCCACACUGGGACUGAGACACGGCCCAGACUCCUACGGGAGGCAGCAGUGGGGAAUAUUGGACAAUGGGGGAAACCCUGAUCCAGCCAUGCCGCGUGAGUGAUGAAGGCCUUAGGGUUGUUUUUUUUUUUCGUCGGGGAAGAUAAUGACGGUACCCGAAGAAGAAGCCUCGGCUAACUCCGUGCCAGCAGCCGCGGUAA
rnacentral:rRNA from 1 species